UGGUCCGUCGCCAAGUUGGUAAGGCACCGGAUUUUGAUUCCGGUAUUCGGAGGUUCGAGUCCUCCCGGACCAGCCA
rnacentral:tRNA from 1 species